rnacentral:misc_RNA from 1 species
GGACAUAUCACCAAAUGGUUCUUCGAUGGCCGCUCUGAUGCUAUUGUAACCAUCUCUUACUUUCAUUUUCCACUAACAAUUCUUAGUUGUUUACAUUAAGAAGUUCUUAAAUUAUCAUUCAUCUUGCGUCUCCGAAAGGCUUACAAUUUCCACAAAAUCAUCUUGGAGGUGCUUGUUUGAAUGCUACAAUGAAUAUUUUUAUGCCGAGUCAAUUUGUUCAAGUAAUAGGUGAUGCG